GGCGGACGGGUGAGUAACGCGUGGGUAACCUGCCUCAUACAGGGGGAUAACAGUUGGAAACGGCUGCUAAUACCGCAUAAGCGCACAGUACCGCAUGGUACGGUGUGAAAAACUCCGGUGGUAUGAGAUGGACCCGCGUCUGAUUAGGUAGUUGGUGGGGUAACGGCCUACCAAGCGACGAUCAGUAGCCGCCUGAGAGGGUGACCGGCCACAUUGGGACUGAGACACGGCCCAA
rnacentral:rRNA from 1 species